GAGUUUGAUCCUGGCUCAGGAUGAACGCUAGCGGCAGGCUUAACACAUGCAAGUCGAGGGGUAACAGGAGUAGCUUGCUAUUUGCUGACGACCGGCGCACGGGUGCGUAACGCGUAUAGAAUCUACCUUAUACUAGGGGGAUAGCCUUUGGAAACGAAGAUUAAUACCCCAUAGUAUUAUUUUUUGGCAUCAUUAAAUAAUUAAAGUUUCGGCGGUAUAAGAUGACUAUGCGUUCUAUUAGUUAGUUGGUAAGGUAACGGCUUACCAAGACUUCGAUAGAUAGGGGUCCUGAGAGGGAGAUCCCCCACACUGGUACUGAGACACGGACCAGACUCCUACGGGAGGCAGCAGUGAGGAAUAUUGGACAAUGGAGGCAACUCUGAUCCAGCCAUGCCGCGUGUAGGAAGACGGCCCUAUGGGUUGUAAACUACUUUUAUAUGGGAAGAAUAAGAUCUACGUGUAGAUUGAUGACGGUACCAUAAGAAUAAGCACCGGCUAACUCCGUGCCAGCAGCCGCGGUAAUACGGAGGGUGCAAGCGUUAUCCGGAAUCAUUGGGUUUAAAGGGUCCGUAGGCGGGCAUAUAAGUCAGUGGUGAAAGUCUGUGGCUUAACCAUAGAAUUGCCAUUGAUACUGUAUGUCUUGAAUUAUUGUGAAGUGGUUAGAAUAUGUAGUGUAGCGGUGAAAUGCUUAGAGAUUACAUAGAAUACCGAUUGCGAAGGUAGAUCACUAACGAUAUAUUGACGCUGAUGGACGAAAGCGUAGUAGCGAACAGGAUUAGAUACCCUGGUAGUCUACGCCGUAAACGAUGGAUACUAGUUGUUUGGCCUUCGGGCUGAGUGACUAAGCGAAAGUG
rnacentral:rRNA from 1 species